rnacentral:rRNA from 1 species
UGCAGAGGGUGCAAGCGUUAAUCGGAAUUACUGGGCGUAAAGCGUGCGUAGACGGUUACAUAAGUCGGGUGUGAAAGCCCCGGGCUCAACCUGGGAAUUGCAUUCGAGACUGCGUAGCUAGGGUGCGGAAGAGGGAAGCGGAAUUUCCGGUGUAGCGGUGAAAUGCGUAGAUAUCGGAAGGAACACCAGUGGCGAAAGCGGCUUCCUGGUCCAGCACCGACGUUCAGGCACGAAAGCGUGGGGAGCAAACAGG